GCCCGGGUGGUGGAAUCGGUAGACACGAAGGACUUAAAAUCCUUUUCCUUCUAGGAGUACGGGUUCAAGUCCCGUCCUGGGCACCA
rnacentral:tRNA from 1 species